rnacentral:misc_RNA from 1 species
AAGUCGUAACAAGGUUUCCGUAGGUGAACCUGCGGAAGGAUCAUUAACACGUAUCCAACGUUAAACAACCCUGUGAACUUUCAACGCUCUUGUAGCCCCAGAGGAACAGCAAUCCCGGUAAAUCAAUGGCGGAAAAGUUUUGAUUCGGGACCUCUGUCCAAAAGGUAUCAAGUUACAAUCGAGCAGAGCAGUGGCAUGGUUUCCCUAAGCAGUGCAGAAGGAUCCACUGAGUAAGGAUAACGCAUCACGGUUGCCAGAGGUCGAUCACCGGCCGGCAGUCUCAAGCCUCGCGGAAACGCCGGGCAUAAAAACCGAACAACUGUUAACAAUGGAUAUCUUGGUUCUC